UGGCGGCGGCGGGGCGCUGCGCUGCGUUACCGCGUCACUGCCCGGCGCCGGCGGCGCGUGCGGCGGUCAUGGCCGACAUGGAGGAGCUCUUCGGCAGCGACGCCGACUCGGAGGCCGAGCAGAAAGAUUCUGACUCCGGAUCUGAAUCUGAUUCCGAUCAGGAGAAUGCUGGCUCCGGUAGUAAUGCUUCUGGAAGCGACAGUGACCAGGACGAUGACAGGGAGGCAAUAAAACCUAGUAAUAAAGAACUGUUUGGAGAUGACAGUGAGGAUGAAGGAGCAUCCCAUCAUACAGGCAGCGACAACCACUCUGAAAGAUCGUACAAUCGCUCUGAAGCCUCAGGACAUUCUGAGCAUGAAGAUAAUGAUCAGUCAGAUGUGGAUCAGCACAGUGCUUCAGAAGCUGCUCACGACGAUGAGGAGGAUGAUCGAGGGCACGGAUCAGAUGAAGGCAGUCAUCAUUCGGAGGGAGAUGGUUCUGAAAAGGCACAUUCAGAGGAUGAGAAGUGGGGCAAGGAGGACAAGAGUGAUCAGUCAGAUGAUGAGAGGCAGCAGAACUCUGAUGAUGAGGAGAAAGUGCAGAACUCUGAUGAAGAUGAAAGGCCACAGAUGUCUGACGAUGACGAGAGAGCCCAGAACUCUGAUGAGGAGAAGAUGCAGAACUCCGAUGAGGAGGAGAGGCCACAGGCCUCAGAUGAGGAGAAGAUGCAGAACUCUGAUGAGGAUGAAAGGGCCCAGCAUUCUGACGAGGAGAAGAUGCAGAACUCUGAUGAUGAUGAAAGGGCCCAGCACUCUGACGAGGAGGAACAAGAGCAUAAAUCUGAGUCUGCAAGAGGUAGCGAUAGCGAGGAUGAAGUUUUGCGAAUGAAGCGAAAGAAACCAAUUGCGUCAGAUUCAGAGGUGGACAGUGAUACAGAAGGACAGAAAGAACAUGCAGAUGUCAUGGACCUGUUUGGAGGUGCAGAUGACAUUUCCUCAGGGAGUGAUGGAGAAGACAAGCCACCAACUCCAGGACAACCCAUUGAUGAGAAUGGACUGAGUCAAGAACAGCAGGAAGAAGAGCCUAUUCCAGAGACAAGAAUAGAGGUUGAAAUACCAAAAGUAAAUACAGACUUGGGUAAUGAUUUGUAUUUUGUGAAGCUGCCCAACUUCCUUAGUGUGGAGCCCAGACCCUUUGAUCCCCAGUAUUAUGAAGAUGAAUUUGAAGAUGAGGAGAUGCUUGAUGAAGAAGGUAGAACUAGGUUAAAACUCAAGGUAGAAAACACAAUACGGUGGCGGAUGCGUCGAGAUGAGGAAGGGAAUGAGAUUAGAGAAAGUAAUGCCCGGAUAGUCAAGUGGUCGGAUGGAAGCAUGUCUCUCCACUUGGGAAAUGAGGUCUUUGAUGUGUACAAGGCACCACUGCAGGGAGAUCACAACCAUUUGUUUAUCAGACAAGGGACAGGUCUACAAGGACAGGCUGUUUUCAAGACAAAGUUAACCUUCAGGCCACACUCUACAGACAGCGCCACUCACAGGAAGAUGACUUUGUCUCUGGCAGAUAGAUGUUCAAAGACCCAGAAAAUUCGUAUUUUGCCAAUGGCAGGUCGUGAUCCAGAGUCUCAGCGGACAGAAAUGAUUAAGAAAGAAGAGGAGAGAUUAAGAGCUUCCAUUCGUAGAGAAUCUCAGCAGCGAAGAAUGCGAGAGAAGCAGCACCAGCGUGGUCUGAGUGCAAAUUAUUUAGAACCUGAUCGCUAUGAAGAAGAGGAUGAGGGUGAUGAUGCGAUCAGUCUAGCUGCUAUCAAAAACAGAUACAAAGGUGGCAUCAGAGAGGAACGUGCUAGAAUCUAUUCUUCGGACAGUGAUGAGGGCUCAGAUGAUGAUAAAACACAAAGACUACUCAAGGCAAAGAAACUGACUAGUGAUGAGGAAGGUGAACCUUCUGGAAAGAGAAAAGCAGAGGAUGAUGACAAAGCAAGUAAGAAGCAUAAGAAAUAUGUGAUCAGCGAUGAAGAAGAAGAUGAUGACGAUUAAUAAUGAGGAAGCACUAACGUUGCUUUAUAUAUAUAUAUUUAUAUAUAUUGUACAGUUCUCUUACAGCAAAGAUCUGAAUUCUGCUUUUCUGUAAAAUGAUAGAAGGGUUCAAGUGCCUCAUAGCGAGCAUUUUGCUGUCUGACAUUCCCUGUUUUUUCAAGAUACAGCAUUUAACUUGGACAUCUUGCUUUUUCUGUGUUUAAUUAGGCUAACAGUUUACUGAAGUACUCUACCUCCAUUUUUCCUGCCUGGAAAGUGUGGGAAGCAUUCUAGCUGCAGUAGCACAGAGCUCUGCAUGUGUUAACGUAUUCUGCUGAGCAGCUGACUGCAGUGUAGACACUUGCAAAUAUGAAAACAAAGUGAAAAAUUUCUACUCAGAAGUCUGAGUGCCUAAGAAACUUUUUUUUUUUUUUUAAAUAACUGUUACCAAGAGUUCCUGUGUCUCUUCAAUGUGCAGAUAAAACCUUUCUCCAUCUGCUGGAAUUUUGACCCUGUAAUCCUCUUAGGUUAAGACCUCUGCUAGGAGUCAGGUUCCUUACAUGAGGUUACCUGCUUUUCAUUUGUAACCUUCUCAGGAAGAAGCCAGCUGUAGAGAAAGGGAGUUGUUUCUUAUGCUGUAUGGAUACAACAUGCUGUACUUUCAUGUAAAAGCCUCCCAGAUACCUCUUAAAUGACAAUGCAAAACAUACACCACCAUUUCACUGAUGACGUGUUUGCUUAAAUGUCAGUUUAAUUGAAGUGUUGGCUGUUUGUACUACACUCAUAAGAGUGAAAAUGUUUUAAUCACUCUCAUAGGUUUGAUGCUAACUAAGCCUUUACUUAGUAAGUGGUUCACUUCAGCUUCCAGAAAUGAGGCUUUUUGUGGAUUACAAAGAUUAAAAGAAGUACUUUUUUUAUACUGUCUUCUUUUGUACAUUGCUCUUUUAAGUCUUAUUAAAACAUGGAAUUUUAGAAAAUAUUCUUUCAGCUUAAAUUGGUUUAGCAAUCACCUUGUAAUUAAAGUCAUUUGAAUGAACUUUGUCUUAUCUACAGUAUUUGUUAGUUGUUAGUCUAAUGCACAGUUUUGUUUAACUCAAGGGCAAUUUUGCUCUCUCUUUUUCUAGCCUCCAAGUAUGUGAGAACUGCUUGGAAUUGAUUCUUCUUAACCAAAUUAAAAAUACUAAGCCGAAACUAAAAUGUAUAAGGAGAAGGAAAGAGAAAGUAGGUUGAGUUUAGUUUACUUUUGUACUACCUGGUCAGAAUACCUUAUCCAGAAAGGGCAUGAUUUGAACAACUUCCAAAAAUAGAUUUCUUUGAAGAGCUGGCAUGAAGCUGAGUACUAGAUUUUCUGGCUAGUGGUAGGAUGUAUGAUAAAUUCUCCUGAAACCGUCAUUGAAAGCUGUUCUUGGCUAUAUAGUUUUGUUGUUUCAAUUAUAUCCUUCAACUGUAUACUUCCCAGUUGUUGAACUGGAGUUUUCUUACUAGUGCUGGGUAGCAUUUUGCACUAGACAUUUUCCUCUAUCCUAGCCAUGCAACUUGACAGUUUUCAUGCUGGAGCACAUCUGAUGGAUCAAGGGGCUGCAACUGAGAGGAGCAGCUGCCCAUGCAGUCCCCUCUUCCUAGAAGCAGGCUUGGCAGUGUCUUGUCUAGCUCAGAGAGUCAACUUGCUAAAAUCUCAGGAAACUUACUUUCUGCCGAGUUUGAUGUUUGUACCAGAUAAGCCAACAGAACUGCUUUAUUGGCCAAGUGAGCAUCAAACCAGUAAGUUGGUGUGGUCAUGACUUAGGGGAUGUGGGCGAAGGAUGUUUUCUUUGGCAGAGGUGUAAACAUUUACUUGGCUGUCUUUGAAAACUUACCUGACCCUAUAGAGGUAAAUGGAUAGUUUGUUUUGUUUUGUUUUUACUGGUGUAGCUGCCUGAGCUGGCACCGUGAAGAGUCAGUUGUGACUUGAGGUAGUGCAAGGGGAAGCAGCCAGAGCAGGACACUUCUGUAUGUGGCAGCAAGUUUUAACUCAGAUCUGACGUGAAGCUGCAGCCACAGGAACGUGUUGAACAUGAGAUGGUGACUUUCCAGUGAAGCAAUGGGUAUUUAUUUUUCAGCCAGUAGGCACAGGAGGAGUCCUUGGUGUCAGCCCAUUCUAGUAAACUGCUUGUUUUUCUAACGGCUUUAAACUGCUAAUCAAGCUGAGUGUUGUUGAACUUACAGAGAUUAUUAUGUGGGAAAGAUUGACGAGAUUUUAUUUCUGAUAGAUGUUCUUUUAACGUUUGCUAUAAGAAGUAUUACACAUUACACUCAUGAAAUUUAGCUAGGCUAUUCUAAUGCUUAGACACUUGCCUGUGGCUUGACUUGAAAGUGCUUCUAGGAGGGCAAUGUGACUAAUACCCAGUGUUGCCUAGUGAUGCCCUUUGAUUUGAGCUGAGGUGGUUUUUUUGCUUGUCUGGACAUUAAAGACUUAGAGAAAAGCUGCAAACUAGUAUUGAUUACUAGCUUGUAUCUUUAAUUGCUUUAAAACUCUUGGACAUUCUGACAUAUAAGCUAAGUAGCUGAAAAAAUGAUGUAAAAUUAAGUAAAUUCAUGCUGAAAUGAUUCUCUGACAGAAUCUGACAAAAAUACUUUCACAAGACUUGGUUUCUUGAUUAUUUUAUUUAUUUUUAAGAGUAUUUUUCUGGUUUAAAACCUUUAAUGGAAUGAUACUUGGAAAAAAAAAGAUUUAUUAAAGUCGAAGUGUAACUUUAGAAGUGUUUUUGUUUCUUACUUUGUUUUCUAUUAAGUCAUGAAAUGAGAGGUUGUAGAGCCAGUUUCCCAGCAAAAGUAGCUUCAUGUCUUUGGGUUAUGUUGAAAUUUUCUGGGAGGCAAUAGCAUUCAUGCAGUUAUCAAUGAUAGUCAUGAAUCAUAUAUACACUGUAUUCUUUAUGUAUUGUAAAUUAAAGAUAAAUAAAAUCUUAUGAAACAGUGAAAGUAUUAACUAACACACCCUCUUUUUUAUAUCCUGUGACUGAAUCAAAUUAUAUCUGAUUUUAUAUUGUUUUAUGCUUUUCCUGGUCUUCUCACGAUACCUCACUUCGUAACAUAACUGUGAAAAGGACAUGCUAAUCCUAGCCUGAUGAAUUUGCAAAUUGCGGAUUGUUUUUUGUUUGUUUGUUUUGUUUUCUUCUUCAUCUGCCAGUGUAAAGAUGUAUGGUAAACAUUCUGUAUAGGAUGUGUUCUUACAUUAGGAUUCAUUGUUGAUCUCUACGAUAAAUCCAUU